UUGGUUUGGUGGAGUGAAUAUUGUCGGUUACACCGUGAUUAUAUACCUACUACUUGGGAUGAUUUGAAACUUGCCAUGCGACAUACUUUCGUCCCUGCUUAUUAUACUUGUGACAUGAUUAAGAAGUUGCAACACUUAAAACAAGGUAGUGAAACUGUAACAAAAUAUUAUGAUGAUUUACAAACUACCUUGUUGCAUUCCUCUUUAGAAGAAAGUGAAGAUGAUUUUAUGGAUAGAUUUUGGGGAGGAUUAAACCGUGAUAUUCAAGAGAUACUAAUUCAUGAAGAGUGUUAUCCUAUGGACCAUUUGUUUCAUCUUGCUUGCAAAGCUGAACAGGAAAUAAAAUGA
rnacentral:rRNA from 1 species